CCUACUGGAGACAGCAGUGAGGAAUCUUGGUCCAUGUGCUUACGCCUGCACCAGCCACGUCGCGUGAGGGAAGACUGCCCUAUGGGUUGUAAACCUCUUUUGUCAGGGAGCAACGCCGGCUACGUUUAGCCGUACUGAGAGUCCCUGCAGAACCAGCAUCCGCUAACUCCGUGCCAGCAGCCGCCGUAAUACAGAGGAUGCGAGCAUUAUUCUGAUUUAUUGGGUUGACAGGGUGCGUAGGCGGAAUGCCAAGUCAGCGGUAAAAUCGCGGGGCUCAACCUCGCUCCGCCGUUGAAACUGGCGUUCUUGAGUGGGCGAGAAGUAAGCGGAAUGCGUGGUGUAGCGGUGAAAUGCAUAGAUAUCACGCAGAACUCCGAUUGCGAAGGCAGCAUACCGGCGCCCAACUGACGCUGAAGCACGAAAGUGUGGGUAUCGAACAGGAUUAGAUACCCCUGUAGUC
rnacentral:rRNA from 1 species